rnacentral:rRNA from 1 species
ACAUGCCUACAACAUAGUGUUAAUGCACCAGAUCCCAUUAGAACUUUGUGGUUAAGCACACUCGGGCUAGAGUAGUACUGGGAUGGGUGACCGCCCAAGAAGUCCUAGUGUUUUACAUGCA